AGGACGAACGCUGGCGGCGUGCCUAAUACAUGCAAGUCGAGCGGACAGAAGGGAGCUUGCUCCCGGACGUUAGCGGCGGACGGGUGAGUAACACGUGGGCAACCUGCCCCUUAGACUGGGAUAAUUCCGGGAAACCGGAGCUAAUACCGGAUAAUCCCUUUCUCCACCUGGAGAGAGGGUGAAAGAUGGCUUCGGCUAUCACUAGGGGAUGGGCCCGCGGCGCAUUAGCUAGUUGGUAAGGUAACGGCUUACCAAGGCGACGAUGCGUAGCCGACCUGAGAGGGUGAUCGGCCACACUGGGACUGAGACACGGCCCAGACUCCUACGGGAGGCAGCAGUAGGGAAUCUUCCGCAAUGGACGAAAGUCUGACGGAGCAACGCCGCGUGAAGUGAGGAAGGCCUUCGGGUCGUAAAGCUCUGUUGUGAGGGAAGAAGCGGUACCGUUCGAAUAGGGCGGUACCUUGACGGCACCUCACCAGAAAGCCACGGCUAACUACGUGCCAGCCGCCGC
rnacentral:rRNA from 1 species